UACGUAGGGCGCAAGCGUUAUCCGGAAUUAUUGGGCGUAAAGAGCUCGUAGGCGGUUUGUCGCGUCUGCCGUGAAAGUCCGGGGCUCAACUCCGGAUCUGCGGUGGGUACGGGCAGACUAGAGUGAUGUAGGGGAGACUGGAAUUCCUGGUGUAGCGGUGAAGUGCGCAGAUAUCAGGAGGAACACCGAUGGCGAAGGCAGGUCUCUGGGCAUUAACUGACGUUGAGGAGCGAAAGCAUGGGGAGCGAACAGG
rnacentral:rRNA from 1 species